rnacentral:rRNA from 1 species
AUUGAACGCUGGCGGCAGGCCUAACACAUGCAAGUCGAACGAGUGGCGGACGGGUGAGUAAUCUCUGGGAAACCGCCUGCUGGAGGGGGAUCACUACUGGAAACGGUCGCUAAUCCCGCAACCCAUCAGAUGUGCCCAGAGGGGAUUAGCUGGUUGGUGGGGUAACGGCUCACCAAGGCGACGAUCCCUAGCUGGUCUGAGAGUAUGACCAGCCACACUGGAACGGAGACACGGUCCAGACUCCUAAGGGAGGCAGCAGGGGGGAAUAUUGCACAAUGGGCGCAAGGCUGAGGGAGCCAUGCCGCGGGUGUGAAGAAGGCCUUCGGGUUGUAAAGUACGUUCAGCGGGGAGGCGUUACCCGCAGAAGAAGCACCGGCUAACUCCGUGCCAGCAGCCGCGGUAAUAC